AUUGCGUGAAGCGAAUCCAAUAAGCGAAACGGUUUGGAAUUCACGACGUCCGACCAAGUGAGAUGUCAUGCGCGAGAUAAUCAUUACAACGCCCAUUUACAUCGGUAUGGUUUCGUAAACGUUUUUCGGCCUUUGGACUUUCACGUCACGAAUCGGAGUCCGUACGGGCGCGUUUGUUGGACGGUUCACGCCGGGCGCGAUACUUUGAUCGUUACGGUCUAUGCACAUUGCACACACACACACACACAUACGCGCGCGCGCGAUUGACACGGUGAAACGAUUUUAUUACAAUCGAUUUGCGUUAAUGUAGAAAUGUGUGUGUACUUAUAUAGAGCUGAAAAUCGCAAAAAGAAACAUCUCGAAUACGGUUUUACAUUCAGGAUUCGACAAUUGUUCCCCGAGCAAUUAGGUACAAAGAAAAUCGUCCGACCCGGGGGCGUAUUCGUUAGUAUACACCAUGAGUGUGGGCGCACCAGACGUGGGUGAAAUCAGUGCACUACCCGAUCAUAUUAGCCCCGCAACGAUAUAGUUUAUUAUAAUAUUAUUCGAUUAAAAUAACCGCGAAAUUAAUGUAAAAUUAACCGCGCAAACGGGAAUUAUAACAACGAAACCGAAUUGAAAAUAUUAUUAUGUUACGGUUAUAAAGUAAAUUUUCAUACGUAUUUACGUCACGGGAUUAUACCGUAUCGUUUAGUAAAUUCCGUAUUCGAACGGGGGGGGGAAACGCGUAAUUUUCGACAAAACCUAUUGUAAGUACAAAUCAUUUGGAUUUUAAAUUUAGACACGAUUGGGACGUUAAAACACGUAACUCUCACCAUUUAACCGUGCGAAAAUACAGAAUAGUUUUACCGUCGGUCGUAUUACAUAGUGAGCAGCGGCGCAACCGAAGGGUUGGAGUGAGAGAUUAUUACGACCUCUAUAUUUGAGAUUUUUCAUUUUUUUUUUUUUUUUUUUUUUUUACGUAUAGUUGCACAAUUCGUGUUGCGAUAUUAUUAUAACGAGGUUUAUUGUUAUACUGCGUAAUAAUUAACCGCCGUCCCGAAAACCCGUCCGAACUUUUGCGUGUGAUUCGUAUCCCCUCUGCCCGAAAACGAAUCGGGAUAUGCCUCCGAAUAAACCGAAAAACAAAUAAAUAAAUAUUAUCUACGAACGAACCUUACAACGACAACAGUAUUUUUACACCACGCAUUUCAGUUAAAUUGAAUUAAUGAAACGGUAUUUCUAUUUUUUCAUUCCAAGUGGUUAGAAUUCGGUAUAGACCCGUUCGAGUGCCUAUAAUUUAUCGUAGUUUCGUAAUGCCCCCUGGUACAUUUUUUUUGAUAAAAAUAGUGCAAUCGUGUAUAGAUCGAUCGUAUUUGUAUGUAUAUACGUUUCCGUAAUCAUCAUUUCGAACAUGCAUUUAGUAAAUCCGAACGGGAUGCGCGGCAAAAUCUCGAACAAAUAAUUCCGACAGAACGAUCGAACCGUCAAAAUGUCGGUCAGUCAGUGAAUUUCCGUGGGAAUUUCGCCGGAAUUCCUUCUCGAGGUUUUGCCGUUCUCGCGAAAAUGUGCCGUCGGAGUUUUUGUCGUCUCGCGGUUUCGCUUUUUCCGGAUUUUGACGGCCUCCCGUCCGUAUAUUGUAUUUUUAUUAUUCAUGUAAAAACAAACGCCCGCAAGCUCUUUGUACGGGAUUUCUCGCACGUACAGCAUAAUAUAAUAAUACAUAAUACGAUAUUAAAAACUAAAAUAUGUCUACCACCGCGGCUCGGGUAUAAAAAGCGGAAUUAUAUAAUAUUUCAAUUUUCGUAUGAAAAGUAAUCCGGGUAUACGAAAUAUUAUUACACUAUACACGCGCAAUAUGCAUCGUAGUAAUACAUCAUUUUUUUUUUUUUUUCCGCGUGAUUUGUCGGUGUACACCGCGGCCGAUAAAUUUCGUUACGCUUACGUCGAAACGAUGUUAUUAUCCCAUACCUAUACGUGUAUAAUAAUAAGUUUAUUCUGUUAAAUUUCCCGGGAGGGGGGAGGGAGGCGAGAAAGAAAAUAACGCGAGCUAUUGUAAAAUCGAUAAAAAAAAAAAACCGAGCACACGUCUCAAUUGAUACCGCAAUAUUGUACAAUGCCACAAAUAACACACGCUACAAUACGUUUUUAACCGUUUUGGUACCCUACGGUAACGGUGCAAGGCCGUCACCUACGCGUAGUAUAAUAGCCGACAGUGUUACCGACAAACGUAAUACAAUAAUAACAAUAAUAAUAAUGAUAAUAAUAUUAAUACAAUUUAAAAAAAAAAAAAAAUUAAAAUAAUAAUAAAACGGUCGUCUCGUACAGCUGGACUGGCGCGAAAAUCGUUUCGUGUGUUGUAAAUACUCGUCGCUGUAUACACGCAUGCAUCACCGUAUUACCGGCGACAUCAAAACUGUACAUAAAAAUUCUGUCGACGUAAUAUUGCAGAAUAUUACAGAAUAUUAUCUGUAUAUUUAUUUGUUUUGUUUUGUUUUGUUUUUUUUCUGUAAAUACAAACUGAUUGUAAUCCGUAAAAUUUGCAUCGACACUGUGAUCUUCUCUAUACACGUAAACAACACACAAUGCGUACGACUAUAGUCAUUUAUUGUGCAACGCAGUCUGCGGAUAUAGGCGUAUGAUACAAAGGGAGAAUGGAAACGUGCAAUACCAUGUUUUACAUAAUUUUUAACGAAAUAGACUGUAUAUUAUAUUGUACAAUCGUUUACCGUAAUGACGGUUGUUUUUGUUUUUUUUUUUUUUUUUUUUUUUUUUUUUUGUUUCUGUUAAUUAAUUAUUUUGACCGCGUUUAUUACAGUCGUUUUUUUUACACGCGUAAUAUAUAUUGUACGAUACGUAACCGUAUUAAAAUGUAAAUCCGUAGCUCGACGAAAUGUUUUUAUUGUCUACCUAAUUGUGUCGUCAAUCGCCGUUAUAAUACACGCGCGUUUCCCGCGCAUUCGUGUUAACCCGC